rnacentral:tRNA from 1 species
GGCAGUGUGGCCUAAUGGAAAGAGCACAGGGCUAGGAGUCAGAGAUCUGGGUUCUAUUCCCAGCUUUGCCA